UACGUAGGGUGCGAGCGUUAAUCGGAAUUACUGGGCGUAAAGCGUGCGUAGGCGGUUGGCAAAGUCAGCUGUGAAAGCCCCGGGCUUAACCUGGGAAUGGCGGUUGAAACUAGUCGACUAGAAUCUGGCAGAGGGGGGUGGAAUUCCACGUGUAGCAGUGAAAUGCGUAGAUAUCGGGAGGAACACCAGUGGCGAAGGCGACUUCCUGGCCUGUUCUUGACGCUGAGGCGCGAAAGCUAGGGUAGCAAACGGG
rnacentral:rRNA from 1 species